GUCUCUUCCUCACUUGCCCUGGGUUUAUGGCUGCAGCAGAACUGUCCUCAACCUUUCAAACUUCCUGUGAGAAGCAGGAGACCUGAGAGUCCAGCUAACCUUGGCUCCUUGGGUUGCUUGCUUACCCACAGCUCAGACGACAUGAUGGAACCUCAGCAUCCCUGGAAGAGCACUCUUGUAACACUGGCUGCCUGCAGGACUAAGACUUUACAACUGUUUUGUACUGUGAAUCACACAUGCUUUUUGAAGGAGAGAAAUAUCGAUUCCAAAGUUCCUGAAGCUCUAGCAGAGGAAAGCAGGGCACCUGGCCGGCACGUAUACUACGCGGAGUCAGGCAAAUUCUAUUUUCUUACUUGAGCAGAUACUUUAUCAAAACAGCCUGUUUAUGGUAAAGGCCCUCACAACUUCAGCUACACAACUUAUUGUAUUGAAAGUACUCAUACUUUUUGUACCUUUGGCUCCAUAUUUUAAUUUAAAAUGACUUUGUAGCACUAAAAUGCCUAGCAGAAGACUAUUCCAGACAUUUAAGGAAAUGUUUAGUUUUUAUGAAGAAUCUUUCAGUGGUUGAACUCCUGUCUUUGGUGCUUCUGGCCCUAAAAACAUCUAGACAACAUCCCAACUACAUGGAAACAUAUAUUUGGAAGCAGAACUUUAAUUUUAUACAGCAAAUGCUAUGAAGACUGAAGAAAAAUUAAGGACUACUACUUUUCCAUUUUUUUCUUAACAAAAUGGGAUUCACUGUGUUGAAGACUCUUGAUAUAAUGUGAUUGUUUAACCAUUUUUAUAAAUCAGAGUGAAAUCUGGUGUGAUCAUGG